rnacentral:rRNA from 1 species
GAUGAACGCUGGCGGCGUGCCUAAUACAUGCAAGUCGAGCGAACGGACGAGAAGCUUGCUUCUCUGAUGUUAGCGGCGGACGGGUGAGUAACACGUGGAUAACCUACCUAUAAGACUGGGAUAACUUCGGGAAACCGGAGCUAAUACCGGAUGAUAUUUUGAACCGCAUGGUUCAAAAGUGAAAGACGUUCUUGCUGUCACUUAUAGAUGGAUCCGCGCUGCAUUAGCUAGUUGGUAAGGUAACGGCUUACCAAGGCAACGAUGCAUAGCCGACCUGAGAGGGUGAUCGGCCACACUGGAACUGAGACACGGUCCAGACUCCUACGGGAGGCAGCAGUAGGGAAUCUUCCGCAAAGGGCGAAAGCCUGACGGAGCAACGCCGCGUGAGUGAUGAAGGUCUUCGGAUCGUAAAACUCUGUUAUUAGGGAAGAACAUAUGUGUAAGUAACUGUGCACAUCUUGACGGUACCUAAUCAGAAAGCCACGGCUAACUACGUG